rnacentral:miRNA from 1 species
AAAAGAGAGAGAGAGAAAGAGAGGAGGAGAGAGAGAGAGAGAGAGAGAGAGAGAUAGUGAAAUAUCCCUUGCCUAUGACACGCAACGUCUCAUUCUCUGGCAUAGAGAACAAAAUUCAUUAUAACACACCACCCAAGAUUGAAAGAGACUCGUAACAAAACUCUCUCUCUCUCUCUCUCUCUCUCUCUCUCUCUCUCUAAAAAUUU